rnacentral:rRNA from 1 species
UACGUAGGGUGCGAGCGUUAAUCGGAAUUACUGGGCGUAAAGCGUGCGCAGGCGGCCUGUCAAGUCAGGUGUGAAAUCCCCGGGCUUAACCUGGGAAUUGCGCUUGAAACUAGCAGGCUAGAGUACGGGAGAGGGGGGUAGAAUUCCAGGUGUAGCGGUGAAAUGCGUAGAGAUCUGGAGGAAUACCGAUGGCGAAGGCAGCCCCCUGGCCUGAUACUGACACUGAGGUGCGAAAGCAUGGGGAGCAAACAGGAUUAGAUACCCGAGUAGUCCCUGAGACGCCAAGGCACACAGGGGGAUA